rnacentral:rRNA from 1 species
UACGGGGGGAGCAAGCGUUGUUCGGAUUUACUGGGCGUAAAGGGCGCGUAGGCGGUCAGCACAAGUCAGUUGUGAAAUCUCCGGGCUUAACUCGGAAAGGUCAACUGAUACUGUGCGACUAGAGUGCGGAAGGGGCAACUGGAAUUCUCGGUGUAGCGGUGAAAUGCGCAGAUAUCAGGAGGAACACCAAUGGCGAAGGCAGCACUCUGGGACGUGACUGACGCUGAGACGCGAAAGCGUGGGGAGCAAACAGG